rnacentral:tRNA from 1 species
GCCUCAGUAGCUCAGCAUACCACCUAGCCCUUUGGUUAGAUGAUCUGAAGGGUAGAGCACCUGACUGUUAAUCAGGUGGUCGCUGGUUCGAGUCCAGCCUGAGGCG